CAGCUAGUUGGGGGGGUAAUGGCCCACCAAGGCGACGACGGGUAGCUGGUCUGAGAGGAUGGCCAGCCACAUUGGGACUGAGAGACGGCCCAGACUCCUACGGGAGGCAGCAGUGGGGAAUCUUGCGCAAUGGCCGAAAGGCUGACGCAGCGACGCCGCGUGGGGGAGGAAGGCCUUCGGGUUGUAAACCCCUGUUGCCCGGGACGAAUGUGCACUUUUGAGUGCAUUGACGGUACCGGGUGAGGAAGCACCGGCUAACUCCGUGCCAGCAGCCGCGGUAAUACGGAGGGUGCAAGCGUUGUCCGGAAUCACUGGGCGUAAAGGGCGCGUAGGCGGCUCAUGAAGGCUGUGGUGAAAGUCCGGGGCUCAACCUCGGAUCGGCCGUGGCGACUCGUGGGCUGGAGCACUGUAGAGGCGGGUGGAAUUCCGGGUGUAGCGGUGGAAUGCGUAGAGAUCCGGAAGAACACCAGUGGCGAAGGCGGCCCGCUGGGCAGUGGCUGACGCUGAGGCGCGACAGCGUGGGGAGCAAACAGG
rnacentral:rRNA from 1 species